UACGUAGGGUGCAAGCGUUUGUCCGGAAUUAUUGGGCGUAAAGAGCUCGUAGGCGGUUUGUCGCGUCUGCCGUGAAAGUCCGGGGCUCAACUCCGGAUCUGCGGUGGGUACGGGCAGACUAGAGUGAUGUAGGGGAGACUGGAAUUCCUGGUGUAGCGGUGAAAUGCGCAGAUAUCAGGAGGAACACCGAUGGCGAAGGCAGGUCUCUGGGCAUUAACUGACGCUGAGGAGCGAAAGCGUGGGGAGCGAACAGG
rnacentral:rRNA from 1 species